rnacentral:pre_miRNA from 1 species
GUGUUGGUUGACAAAUGUCUCAUAUAUCAAUCUUAUGGUGAUAUGACCUUACAUGACUUGAUAGAGGACAUGGGUAAAGCAAUCGUCC